AUUGAACGCUGGCGGCAGGCCUAACACAUGCAAGUCGAGCGGAUGACGGGAGCUUGCUCCUUGAUUCAGCGGCGGACGGGUGAGUAAUACCUAGGAAUCUGCCUGAUAGUGGGGGACAACGUUUCGAAAGGAACGCUAAUACCGCAUACGUCCUACGGGAGAAAGCAGGGGACCUUCGGGCCUUGCGCUAUCAGAUGAGCCUAGGUCGGAUUAGCUAGUUGGUGAGGUAAUGGCUCACCAAGGCGACGAUCCGUAACUGGUCUGAGAGGAUGAUCAGGCACACUGGAACUGAGACACGGUCCAGACUCCUACGGGAGGCAGCAGUGGGGAAUAUUGGACAAUGGGCGAAAGCCUGAUUCAGCCAUGCCGCGUGUGUGAAGAAGGUCUUCGGAUUGUAAAGCACUUUAAGUUGGGAGGAAGGGCAGUAAGCUAAUACCUUGCUGUUUUGACGUUACCGACAGAAUAAGCACCGGCUAACUCUGUGCCAGCAGCCGCCGUAACAC
rnacentral:rRNA from 1 species